GUCCCCCUAGCUCAAUUGGCAGAGCACGCGGCUUACAUCCGCGGGGUUAUAGGUUCGAGUCCUAUGGGGGGCA
rnacentral:tRNA from 1 species